rnacentral:misc_RNA from 1 species
GAUCUAUGGAAUUGUUUUGAUGAAUGGAGUGCAUAUGGAGCUGGAGUUCCUAUUGUCUUGAACAAUGAUGAAACAUUGGUCCAGUACUAUGUGCCUUAUCUCUCUGAAUUUUCACAAGCAAUUCCUCUGUUAACGGUUUCAGGGAAGAGAUCGAGUCAGGUGAUGGUGAGACGAGGGAUACAUUUAGCGAUUCAUGUAGCGAUGAGAGUGAGAG